GAUGAACGCUGGCGGCGUGCCUAAUACAUGCCAGUCGAGCGAACGGACGAGAAGCUUGCUUUUCUGAUGUUAGCGGCGGACGGGUGAGUAACACGUGGAUAACCUACCUAUAAGACUGGGAUAACUUCGGGAAACCGGAGCUAAUACCGGAUAAUAUUUUGAACCGCAUGGUUCAAAAGUGAAAGACGGUCUUGCUGUCACUUAUAGAUGGAUCCGCGCUGCAUUAGCUAGUUGGUAAGGUAACGGCUUACCAAGGCAACGAUGCAUAGCCGACCUGAGAGGGUGAUCGGCCACACUGGAACUGAGACACGGUCCAGACUCCUACGGGAGGCAGCAGUAGGGAAUCUUCCGCAAUGGGCGAAAGCCUGACGGAGCAACGCCGCGUGAGUGAUGAAGGUCUUCGGAUCGUAAAACUCUGUUAUUAGGGAAGAACAUAUGUGUAAGUAACUGUGCACAUCUUGACGGUACCUAAUCAGAAAGCCACGACUAACUACGUG
rnacentral:rRNA from 1 species